AUGUAACUACGGUUCACGUACGAUCACCGAAGUUAAGCAAUGAUGAGCCUGGUCUGUACCUAGAUGGGUGACUGCUUAGGAAUACCAG